GUAAAGUCAUUUUGUAGAGUUUCAUUUUUUUUUCUAUACUAUAGCAGCCGCGUUCUUUCCCUUCCCAUUUCAAUGAAAGUGCUUUAUUUCUAUCAACCCUUAGCAGGUUUUGUCACACCAUUUUAGGAAAACCUUGUACCUCUUUCCUAUCUCCCUAUAUCAGCAUCCUAUAAACGUUUCUCUCUCUCCUAUCUUCAACGAUUUGGUUAACAUAAAUGGCCAAAACGAUUUUGAAGUUUCUGGCAAAAAUCAACUUUUAGAAAUUCGAUUUUGAUUUCAAACGGCUAAUUCAUGUAGAAUUUCCACCCAAGAACUUUAACCCUAGAAAACUCUAGCUUCUUUCUCCUAUAAAUACAACCUUAUAUCUUCAGCAAAGGGAAGGAAUUUUUAGCUGCCACUUGACACCUUGAAAAUACUCUCAUCGUCCUUCAAAGCUUUCUUUUCUUUCUAGGUAAACUUUAUCCACCACAAAGGUAUUCGAACUUAUCCGACUCUAGUUUCGAAUCUGUUCAUAACGAAGAGAGUAGAUUCGAGGCCCCGAUGUCCUAAGUUCACUGCACCCACAAGAGAACUUAGGACAAGACAUUGUGAUGAGAAGAGCUUGUGAUCUUCAGUUGUACGGAUGGUGUGAUUCGGACUGGGCUGGAUGUCCGUUGACUCGAAAAUCACUUAUCGUUUGGUUUAUCUCCCUCGGGAAUUCACCCGUAUUAUGGAAAAUCAAGAAGCAACACAUUGUCUCUCACUCGUUAGCGGAGGCAAAAUAUCAAUCAAUGGCAAUGACGAUCAGUGAGUUGAAAUGGCUAAAGGGAAUUUUGCAUAGUUUGGGUGUUGAACAUACAUCUCCGGUAAAAAUGUAUUGUGACAGUCAAGCAGCAUUGUAGAUUGCGCGAAAUCCUGUGUUUCAUGAACCGACCAAACACAUUGAAGUCGAUUGGCACUAUGUCCGGGACGCGCUGCAGUCCGGAAUCAUACCUCCCAGUCAUGUGCCUACUAAUGAGCAAUUGGCUGAUGUGUUUACAAAGGCUUUGGGCAAAUCGCAGCAUCAGUAUUUACUUGGCAAGUUGCGCAUUUGAGAGCCUCAUGCUCCAACUUGAAGGGGCGGGGGGGGGGGGGGGGGGGGGGGGUAUUGAGACCGAAUGUGACCGGACCAGUUGAUGUGUCGGUAAAAACCUUAGGUCAGUAGGAACCCUAUUCUAGUCUAAUUGUAAUAGGUUGAUUUUAUUUAUGAUGAAUUUCUAAUCAUGGUAAUAUAAGAUUUGUAGUUUUAUUGGAAUAGGGUUACCUUAUUUGUCUAGGAUAAGGAGGACCUUACUUGUAUAUAAGGAGAUCAUUAUGAUGAAUGAAAAGCAGAAAAAAUUCUUCCAAUUUUAACAGAA